GCAGUCGAGCGGAACGACACUAACNAUCCUUCGGGUGCGUUAAUGGGCGUCGAGCGGCGGACGGGUGAGUAAUGCCUAGGAAAUUGCCUUGAUGUGGGGGAUAACCAUUGGAAACGAUGGCUAAUACCGCAUGAUGCCUACGGGCCAAAGAGGGGGACCUUCGGGCCUCUCGCGUCAAGAUAUGCCUAGGUGGGAUUAGCUAGUUGGUGAGGUAAUGGCUCACCAAGGCGACGAUCCCUAGCUGGUCUGAGAGGAUGAUCAGCCACACUGGAACUGAGACACGGUCCAGACUCCUACGGGAGGCAGCAGUGGGGAAUAUUGCACAAUGGGCGAAAGCCUGAUGCAGCCAUGCCGCGUGUAUGAAGAAGGCCUUCGGGUUGUAAAGUACUUUCAGUUGUGAGGAAGGGUGUGUAGUUAAUAGCUGCGCAUCUUGACGUUAGCAACAGAAGAAGCACCGGCUAACUCCGUGCCAGCAGCCGCGGUAAUACGGAGGGUGCGAGCGUUAAUCGGAAUUACUGGGCGUAAAGCGCAUGCAGGUGGUUCAUUAAGUCAGAUGUGAAAGCCCGGGGCUCAACCUCGGAACUGCAUUUGAAACUGGUGAACUAGAGUACUGUAGAGGGGGGUAGAAUUUCNGGUGUAGCGGUGAAAUGCGUAGAGAUCUGAAGGAAUACCAGUGGCGAAGGCGGCCCCCU
rnacentral:rRNA from 1 species